CAUCUACUCCCUCCGUCCCAAAAUUCUUGUCUUAGAUUUGUCUAAAUACGGAUGUAUCUAGUUACGUUUUAGUGUCAGAUACAUCUGUAUCUAGACAAAUAUAAGACAAGAAUUUUGGGACGGAGGGAGUAUAUU
rfam:Triticum aestivum genome assembly, contig: Triticum_aestivum_CS42_TGACv1_scaffold_580368_7BL